rnacentral:rRNA from 1 species
UACAGAGGGUGCGAGCGUUGUCCGGAAUUAUUGGGCGUAAAGAGCGUGUAGGCGGUUUGGUAGGUCCGCUGUGAAAACUCGAGGCUCAACCUCGAGACGCCGGUGGAAACCAUCAGGCUAGAGUCCGGAAGAGGAGAGUGGAAUUCCUGGUGUAGCGGUGAAAUGCGCAGAUAUCAGGAAGAACACCCGUGGCUAAGGCGGCUCUCUAGUACGGUACUGACGCUGAGACGCGAAAGCGUGGGGAGCGAACAGG